rnacentral:rRNA from 1 species
UUGAAAGGGAAACGAUUGAAGUCAGUCGUACCAGCGGGAAUCAACCUUUCGAGUGGGGUUUUGGAGUUUUGAAGAGUGUCAAAACCUUUGAGAUUUNAAAAUUUUCGCUCCUUUGGUGUACUUUCUCGUGGGUAGGUUAACAUCGAUUUCGAUCAUCAUAAAAGGAUUGGAGGAAUGUAGCUUCGAUCUUGUAUUGAAGUGUUAUAGCCUUUGGUAAAUGUGAUGAUUGGGAUCGAGGAUUGCAACGAAUACCCUUUUGGGCUAUCCGCCUGAUCUCUGAUACGUGGCCUUGGCAUCGAAAGCUUGCUUAUGGUAUCAAGGUAUCACGGUCAAAAGGUUAGAACGGAUUACAUUCAUUAAGGAUGUUGACGUA